AAUACGAUAUGACGCUUUUGGAAACAACCCAAAUAUAUGCUGACACAAAGAUAUUUUUAUCUAAUGAGAAGUGGGAAAUUUGAUUUUACAUUCAAGUAAAACUUUCUUGAAUUUUCAUGAAAUUUCACAAAUGUAAGGGAAAUUCUUAAAGAGGAAUAUAAAAGCACCGCUUCUACUGAUAAUGUUAAAGUCAGAGAAAGAAAACUGAACAACGUAUACUUAAAAUAUAAAUAUUGAUCAAAAGAACUUUUGCAAGAAUGGGAGGGUUAUUAGACUUAUUCAGAAAAGCGCCACCACCACGAACGCCAAAGGUCCCACCUCCAGGACAGAUUGUGGAUGGGAAGGUGGAAAUAAAGGAAAAAAUAAAGGAAAAAUCAACAAACGAAAAACACACAAUCAAAGAAAGUAACAAAGAAGAUACCAAACAUUUUGUGCCACCGGAAGAAACGAUGAGUGAUUAAAAAUAAGAAGGAAAAGAACAUUUGUUAAUAUAAUAAUCAUAGUAAUUUAUGAAUUACAUUAUUUCACGACUUUCCAAUUUAAAUUAUUUUAAAAAACAAGACAAUUUUGA